rnacentral:lncRNA from 1 species
AAACAAAUAACUUUUGUGGUCCAGAAUCAAAAAAAUAAGAACUUGGAGCAUUAAAUAGCUUGUAUCCAUAGAACAUUUGACGUGACAUAGAUAAUGAAUAAAUAGGAGUUAAUAUCAUUCCAAUUGCCAUUACGAAAGUAAUUAGUAUUUUUGGCAUUAAAAAAUAUUUUUGGCUGGUAAUUAUUCCAAAAAAGACUAUCAAUUCUGCAACAAAACCACUCAUGCCCGGUAAUGCAAGAGAAGCCAUGGAUAAGAUACUGAACAUCGUAAAUAUUUUGGGAAUCGAAACGGCCAUUUCGCCCAUUUCGUCGAGAUAAACAAGACGCAUUCUAUCAUAACUCGUUAGGUUAGCCGAGAAAUACGAGAUCUACCAUUUUCAAGCAAAAAAUCAACUUAAAAUCAAAUGAUACAUUGAGAUCUAGAUUAAAUCAUUUAAAUAUCGAAUUGAAAUAAAGUGACAAGUAAAUGUCGAGCUAUCGUACCCACAAGGACUGUAAAAAAAUUAUUUAUGAAAGUAACUUUAAACACUUUGGUGAAAGAAAAAUAUUUGGAUUUGGGAAAUGAUUAAAAACUAGAAAAAAAGUAAAAUAAAAUAAAACAAAGUCCUAAUGCACGAUUUCAAAAGCUGUUUUUAAUCAAGAUGAUAUAAUUGUGUUGGAUUAAUUACAUUUCCUUACCUUAGAAUCAUUAAACUUAUGAUUAUACUUAUUACUAAUAAAUCAUGGCAAGUCGGUAAUUUUCUAACUUAUGAACAUAUUUACAAAUCAAAAAUCCAUUCAUCUCUUGUACACAUUCCUAUGUCAAUUCGACCGAUAAAACAGAUUUAUAAAGAUAAACAUAUUAUUGCACAUACAUACUUAUUAGACUAAACAAUCUCUCGCAUAUUCCUAUGUUGAUUCAAAUGAUUAAUUCAACCUAAUAAGCAUAUAAAAGAUUAUGUGAGGUAACAAAGUAUCCUUACCUUGAAACAGUUUAAUCAUAAUAAUCUUGCAAGUUAUGCAAGGCAUAUGUAUCGCCAAAUACAAUGCUAUCUAAUCUUCAGCUACCUUAGAAGAAUUAAACAUGCACUGAUUAAGUAUUGUGUCCAUUAGUUACAAUUUUAAUGCAUUUAAACAAUUAAUUCUUUAGUUAUCUUACAAUUGUAAUGCAAGAAUAAUUUAAUCAUGGUUUUACUUAAUCAAACAUUUUACUGAGGUCUAUAACAGUAUAAACAUAAAUUUAACAAAUCAAGAGGACGGAAUGCCAAUAAACCCAACAAAAAUUAAAUUCAAGCUAAUCCGAUUAAAUUAAAAAUUCCAAUAGCAUAAAUAUUCAUAGAUAUGUUCAUCAUAAAAAAACAAAAAUUAAAGAGAUAAGGAACAAGAGCCAAAUCCGGUGGUUUUCCGUAGCUUGACUAGGUUGCUCCGUUCUUCCUUCUUUGUUGUCUUCGCCAGUCAAGGCUGCUAUGAACACUCAAUUUCUGCUCCAAAAUGGCUAAAGAAUACCCAUUUCCCAAUAGGAGAAAUCGGCACAAGAGCAAGGAACUUUGAAUGGGAAAAUGAGAGAAAAAAGUGGGAGAGGAGAGAAGAGUUGUGAGAGAAGAGAUGUGAAUGAGGGAUGAUUUGAAUGGGCAGCAAAGGGGGGUUUAUAUAUCUGAGGAUGGAUGAUAAAAAUAUCAAAUUUCAGCAGCCAAAGAGCCCCCUCAUGGCCGGCCAUCCUACAUGGCAAAGUUGAGACUUUCAACUUUGCUAAAAUUAGCUUGGGCAAAUCCGUAAAGCCUUAAUUUAAGGUGAGGUUUGAAUGCAAUUUGGAAGUCUUCCAAGGGCCUUUUUGUAGCUCAUUUAAUCAGAUAAAAUUCUAAUUUGGUUCAGAAUUUGAACAGUUCUAGGCUGCCCAACUGGUGGCUGGUUCGAUUCGCUCAAUUUGGUUCAACUAGUGCGGUUCAACUGGGCCAUUUUUCCAUAAUUAAUUAAAAUUAAUUUAUUUAGCCCAAAUUAAAUUAGAAAUAAAUUAAAAUUAAUUAUAUAAUGAAUUAAUACACAUAUUAGGACCAUCUUACGCUGGAAAUUAUUUUGCCUUGUUACUUCGAAUUGUUUUUCGGUUUUGUUCUUCUAACGGUGUCUGCCGGGUCAAUUUUUGCCCUUUGUACGAAUCUGUCAAAAAUCAUCAAAAUUCACUAAAAAUAAUUGUAAAAUUGACUAAAAAUUAACAUGUUGAAAUUUUUAAUACAAUUUAAUUAUCUUAUGACAAAAAUUCUAUAAAAAAAUGCAUGAUUUUAAGUAAAAUUGGGUAUGAAAAAGUAUAUAAAUCUUUGUGUUUCCACACCCCCAAACUUAAAUCAUUGCUCGUCCCGAGUAAUGCACAAAUUUCAAAAAGAAUUUCUCAGAAACACUUUUGAAGAAUUCCUUCAGAAUAACUUUCUUCUCAAAAUUAUGAAUUUAAUAUACUUAGGCUCAAAAAUAAGAAAUUUGAUACUUAUGCUACUUAUGUAUGCAUAUCGUUCAAAUUACACCCAACAACUAUUAUAAUAGCAAAAUUAUACUAAAUGCCUCUUUAACAAAGACAUGUUAACCCUUACCAAUUUGAUUUUUUUAUUUCCUUAUUCAAGACUAAGCUGCAAUCAUUAAGUUUAACUUAUGUCUUCAUAUGUUGAUCUUAGCAAUUUCUCUCCACUAAUGUAGGUAGUAUAGAAACUUGAAUCUAUUGGUCUUUAUUAAGGUUCUAAUGUGGCGAGGCUAUGGGUAGGUAAAAGAUAGAUAAAUUUUGGCUUAAAAACCCUGGACUCAGCAUAAAAUUGAACCUUCAGAAUUUUUACCUUCGAUACACCAACUUAUUUUACUUUCACAUGCUCUUUUGUACAUCUAUUUUCUUUCGAGUACAUGUUUUUUUAAUUCAAAUUCGAGCAGUUACUUCAUGUACUACAAUUUUCAAGCAAUUGAUACUUCUUUUCAAUUCCCCCAAACUUAUUUUCAAAUGAUAUUAUGAAUAGUACUGAGUCUAGUGUUUGGGACAAUUUUAAAGAUAAUGAAGAGAAAAGUGAUGGCUAAAUAUUGCAAAGGUCCAAAUAAAACUAGGCUAUAUAGUCUCAAAGGUAGGAUUCAAAGGAUAAUUUUAUCAUGGUCGGCUUGAAAGGCUCAAACAGUCCAAAGAAUAAUUGCCUAAGUCAUUUUCAAUAGUCCAUGCUUUCUAGGAUUUUGCCUCAAGAAAUUACUAAGUCAAUUCUAAAGACUUAAAACUUUCAUGCAUGCCUAAUAUUUUCGUAGGGAAAAAAAUUAUGGUACGAAUUUGCAUGAUUUAUUAAAAAUACAUUCAUAUCAUUAUUAAGCUAACAUAAUAACUUAUUGAAAUAAUAGAACUUUAUUAAUACUGAAGUUUAGCAUACUGAACAAAAUUUCAAAUUAUUGAACAAAGUAUAUCCUAAUCAUAAUUAAAAUAAAAUUUUAUUCUGAGUGAAAUUAAUUCAAAUUUUUGGUCCCCAACUUAAAAUGAACAAUGUCCUCAUUGUUUAAAGUGAAUAGAUACUAUACACCAUGUAGGAUUUUAGAAAAGAGGAGGUGAGUCAAAUUGACUACUUAAGUACCAAGCUCUCUCGAAAUCCAAUCCUAGAUAUAUAUAUACCUAUUGUCACACUUUAGCCUUUGUGACUUGUUCAAAAUUUAUUCAUGGUUCCUAUAUUUUGUUUUAUUGUGCAAAAAUAAAAAUUCCUAAUUAACCUAAUCCUAAAAUAACUUAAGAAUAAAAAUAAAAUAAAGUUGAGGUCCUCCAUUUUUUAUUUGUUUACCAAUCCUUCUGAGUUCGAGUCAUCUUUUGCUUCAUCAUUAUUGCCUUUGCAUGAAUUGCUUUGCUCCCUCUUUGACAAUGAACUUCAUGGUUCAAAUGUGAAAUCUGGAAACUCAGGCACAAAAAUAAAUUGGUCAUUAUAAAUUUUCCUAAGGGCACUCCUCAUCGAGACAUCCCUUAUUUUUUAGUAUCUCCAGUAGGCUUGUUGCUACCAUUGCAUGUGUUGCAUUAAGUCCAUCAGCUUUGACAGCUCAUCACGAAGAUCUUAGUUAGGUAGUGGAGCUUCAAACAUUGAGGUUUUGAUAUCAGGUUCAGCUUCUGGUUUAUUGGUUUUCCCUUAUUACGGACUUUAGUUGAUUGCUCUGGCGGGAUCUCUGUGGGGUCAUCUUUUCCUUCUUCGGGAUCCUCACUUUCUUCAACUCGUUGUUGUAGGACAGAAUCUCCAGCUACUCGGUAAAGGUCCCAAUCGGUGAUUGUGCCCUGACUAUACCCAGUCUUCUUUACGUUCGCAAGAUUUUUUGCUUUUAAGCACAGAAUUGUUAUCGUAAAGGGGAAAUAGGCCGGGCCAGAACGUCUAACGGUACAAUUUCGCAUUUCACAUAGGAUGAUUUUGCCCACAUCAAUGGUCUCUCUAGUUAGAAUUGAGUAUAAUAGGACCAUUGUCUCUAAUGAGAUUGUAGUCCCAUGCGAACUAGGCAUAAGGAUGAAACGGAUGAAAUAGAACCAUACCUUCGCAAGUGAUGUCAAAUAUUCUUUUCGACACGUGUGGAUUCCUUGCUUUGACACAGUCUACUUAGAACCUGGAACUGUGAGUUCCUCAAGAAUUUCUUGCAAAUUUUCAAGCUCAAUGUUGCUCAAAAAAGAAGAAUAUUCAUCGUUUUCAAAAUCAGGUAAUUCAAAGAACUCAUUAAUAGCAUUUGAAUUUAAUGGUACCUUGAUUCUGCGAACUGGAACUUUGGUCAAUUCGCUUGAGGUUAAAUUUUCAUAGAAUUCACGAACUAGUUCCUCAUCCACACUUGGUCUCUUUUCACAAAAAAAUUCCCAAUUGAGGGCUUCAGCAACUUGACGAAUACGUGCCAUAAAUUCUCCGUAGUUGCUUUCCUUCAAUGUGAAGCCUGAUUGAAUGAACUUUUUUUGUAUCUUACUUUGGCUUCUUCACAGUGGAACUUAUUUUGUGUUUCAUCGAUUUGGGCGGAGGCACGAGUUCUCUUGCAAGGCAUGAUUAACCUGAACAUAAAAUGGGAAAAAUUAUUUUCUCAAAAAUUUAAUUAAUAAAAAUUAUUAAUAGUUCAAUAAUUUGAAAAAUUAAAUAAUUUAAUAAAAUAAAAAUUCAAGAGAAAAUUUAGUGUUACCACCAUUUUUUUUAAAAAAAUAAUUAAAAGCAAAAGAGGUCGAUUUAAGGUAGGUUGGAGGAUUUGGCUAAGGAUGGCUGAAGGUGUGUGCCGCAGAAGUGUUGGAAGGCUGCUAGGUGUGCGGGUGGAUGGGUGUGGAAGUGGCCAGCAAUAUGUAGCGAGGGUUCCGUGCAAGCAGCAGCGUGUGGGACCUUUGGCAAGCAGGCUUGAUGCGCUGGGACGUGCACAGGUGUGGCUCACAGGAGCAGGACACGGCCUGGGUGACUGCUGGGGCUGGGGUGUAUGGCAUGCUGAGGCUGCUAGCCAAGCAAUGUGCGAUUGAGGCUUGCGGCACUUAAUGGAUUUGGUGCUUUGGGGUUUUGAGUGAUGAAUGAAUGGGGGGAAGUAAGGGUGGAAUUUAUAGUGGGAGAAGUAAGAAUUUGAGUUGAAUUCUUAGAGAAAUUUAAUAAUUUAAAUAAUCUAAGUCUAGUCCUACUCAAUGUUAACAAAAAUUAAUAAUGAAAUUAUCAAUUGCUAUUAAAUUAUUAAAACAAGAAUAAAAUAUGAUUAAAAUUAAACUAAUCCUAAUUCUAGGCUAAGUUGAUAAAAAUUAAUAUAUAAAUUAUAAGAGAUAUUAUAUAUUAAAGUUUAUCAUAUUUAUAUAAAUAUAUAUAUUAAAAAUAAAAAUAUUUAUUUUAGAUGCCUUUUGGAAAUAUUUACAAAAAGAGGCACCUAGUUUGUAUUAUUUACGAAAUUAGCAACCAAAUUUUAAAAAUAAUUCAAUUAAGUCCCUAGAUUUAAUGAAAAUUUGAAAUUGAGUUGUAAUUUAAAACUUGGAUCACAAUUUGACCCUUUUAUUUGAAAAAUUAAAAAUUUGUUUUGUCAUUCAAGGAAUAAUUAUUAUGCAAAAAUCAAUUCUCAAGAAGAUUGGAGGGGUCACAAGCGGUCCCGCUUAAGAUCAAAUCUCCUAGACAGAAUUUAUUUAAACAUAAUAAACCCGAAAAUAUACCCUAAAUAAUUUAUAAAAAAUAAGAAAAUUUAAAUAUCUGAUAAACUAAAGAAGAUUUGAUCUCGUUCAGUUUUUUCUCCGUAGUAAAGUUUCAAACGUUGAGAAUUGACUUGGAAAUUACCUCCCUUACCUUGGAGUUCAACAACUCCAUAUGGAUAGACGUGAUGAAUCGUAAAUGGACCAGACCAACUUGAUUUUAAUUUACCUGGGAAGAACUUCAAUCUGGAAUUAAAUAACAAGACUUGCUGACCUGCUUCAAAUUCUCUAACUCAAAUGUGCUUGUCAUGCCUUUUCUUGAGUCUUUCUUUGAGUAAUUUGGUAUUUUUGUAUGAGAACAUUCGAAACUCCUCUAGCUCAUUGAGUUGGAGCAUCCAUUUCUCUAUAGCAAACUUAAGAUCUAGGUUGAGUCGUCGAAGAGCCCAGUAAGCUUUGUGCUUUAACUUCAGAGGUAGAUGACAGGCUUUCCUAAAGACCAACCUGCAGGGCGACAUUCCUAAAGGUGUCUUGUAUGUUGUUUUGUAAGCCCAUAAAACAUCAUCUAGUCUUUUGGACCAAUCUCGUCGAUUCAGGCAGACUACAUUCUCAAGUAUGCCUUUGAUCUCCUUAUUUGCCAGUGUAACUUGCCCAUUUUUCUGCGGAUGGUAAGCUGUUGCAACCUUCUGUUUCCCUCCGUGCUUGUCUAAUAACCAUUUUAACCAGUUGUUAACAAAGUGAACACAUGCUUCUGCAGAAACUUCAUCACAACCUUAGCAUCAUUUUUCAGAUAUGCCUCAGCCUUGACCCACUUAGACACGUAGUCUACUGCUACUAGUGUGUACUUGUGACCGCAAGAUGGAGGAAAAAGACCAUGAAAGUCAAUACCCCAUUCAUCGAACAACUCUACCUCAAUGAUGUUUGUUAGAGGCAUCUCAUUUCUGUUGGUAACAAUUCCAACCCUUUGACAUCAAUCACAGCUCUUUACGUAAGCAUAUGCAUCCUUGAAUAGUGUUGGCCAAAAGAAUCCAGCUUGCAAUACUUUUGCCACUAUACGUGUACCUCCGAAGUGUCCUCUACUUGGAGCUGAUUGACAGUGGUAUAAAAUCUUCGGUAUUUCAUAUUCUGCCAUGCAUCUCCUGAUCAUUUGAUCUGUACACUUUUUAAACACAUAUGCCUCUUCCCAGAAUUAGUACUUCACAUCGUGAAGAAAAUUUUUCCUUUGUUGAUACGUCUUAUCAAUUGGCAUCAAACCACAAGCUAAAUAGUUAGCAACAUCAUCAAACCAAGGGGUAUUAUGGACAUGAUUUACAUUCAACAUAUGUUCGUCUAGAAACGUCUCUUGAAUUGGUAUAAGAGGAGAAUUCCCUUCUUGUGGCUCCAAUCUGGACAAGUGAUCUGCUACUUGAUUUUCGACUCCCUUUCGAUCUUAAAUUUCUAGAUCAAACUCUUGAAGUAGAAGUACCCAUCAGAUCAGCCUCGGCUUAGUGUCUUCUUUGCAAGUAAAUACUUAAUUACCGAGUGGUCUGUAUAGACAGUCACUUUGGUACCUACCAGAUAAGAUCGAAACUUGUCGAAAGCAAACACAAUAGCAAGUAACUCUUUUUCUGUUACCGUAUAAUUUAGUUGAGCUCCUGUUAGGGUUCGACUUGCGUAGUAGAUGGGAUGAAAAACUUUGUUCCUUCGCAGGCCCAAGACAGCUCCAAUUGCGAAGUCACUUGCGUCACACAUCAAUUCGAAUGGCAAAUCCCAGUCUGGUGUGACGAUUAUGGGUACCGUGACUAAUGGACUCUUCAAAUCGUUGAAGGCUUUUAAGCAUUCCUCACCAAACUUGAAUAUAGAGUCCUUCUCCAAUAAUUUACAUAAGGGUUUUGCAACAUUUGAGAAGUCCUUGAUAAAUCUUCGAUAAAAACAAGCAUGGAUCAAAAAGCUCCUAACGCCCUUUACAGAUGUUGGAGGUGGGAGUUUCUCAAUAACGUCUACCUGGGUUCCAUAUCUUGUUAUCCGAUGCCCUAGAACAACUCUUUCUCAUACCAUAAAAUGACACUUUUCCCAGUUGAGUACGAGAUUCGUUUCUUCGCAUCACCUUAGUACCUUAGUUAGAUUGGCUAAGCAAUCAUCGUAAGUAUCUCCGAAUACUGAAAAAUCAUCCAUAAAAACUUUCAAAUAUUUCUCAACCAUGUCAGUAAAAAAAGACAUCAUAUAUCUUUGAAAUAUAGUAGGUGCAUUACAUAAACAAAAUGGCAUGCGUCUAAAUGCAAACGUACCGUACGAGUAGGUGAAUGUCAUUUUUUGUUGAUCUUCCAUUGCUACUAUAAUCUGAUUAUACCCUGAGUAUCCAUCGAGAAAACAGUAGUAAUCUUGUCCUGUGAGUCUAUCCAGCAUCUGGUCCAAGAAUGACAAAGGAAAGUGAUCUAUCCUAGUUGCCUUGUUCAGCUUCCAGUAAUCAAUGCAGAUUUCUGUCCCGUAACCGUUCUAGUCGGUAUCAACUCGUUGUUCUCGUUCUCUACGACCGUGAUACCUCCUUUUUUUGGCACGCAUUGGACCGGGCUUACCCAUUAACUGUCUGAGAUGGGAUAGAUGAUACCCGUAACUAAGCACUUGAUGAUCUCUUUUUUUACUACGUUCUUCAUGAUGGGGUUCAAUCUCCGUUGUCCAUCGAUCGUCCCUUUUUUGCCAUCUUCCAGGAUAAUCUUGGGCAUGCAUACAGAUGGACUAAUACUGCGAAUAUCAGCUAUGGCCCAUCUGAUGGGCUUCUUAAAUUGUUCCAGAACUAAGCUAGGUUUCUCUUCUUCCUCAGUGGUCAAUUCUGCUGAAACAAUCACAGGCAAAGUAAAAGCGUUACCUAAAUAAACGAUGUUUAAAUGAUAAGGUAAUACCUUGAGUUCUAAUUUAGGUGGCUUAUCGAUCGACGCUUUUGGUUGAUAAUAGUCCCUCUUUUCUAACUCUAAAGAUUUAAAACGGGAUUGAAGAUUAAAUCCCCUUUGAUUAGCUUCUAGAAAAGAUAAGUAUCUCUUCAUCAUUUGGAGGAUUCGAUGUCAAAAUUCUUUCCAAUGGGUCCUCAACAUAGUUGAGUUCCUUCUCCACUAUUAAAUCCUCUAAAUCAGACACUGUAGACCAAUCAUUCAUUGUGUCAGGAAAUCACAUAGAGUUAAAGACGUUAAAUGUUACCUGAUCAUCUGAACACGCACAGUGAGCUCGCCCUUCGGCACAUCAAUAACGGUCCUUCCUGUUGCUAGGAGUAGCCUUCCUAGGAUGAUUGGUACUUCUUUAUCUGCUUCAAAAUCUAGAAUUACAAAGUCAGCAGGGUAGAUAAACUUAUCUACACGUACCAAUGCGUCCUCGAUUUUUCCUUCUGGAUGUGUUAAGGAUCCAUCUGCUAGUUGAAGCGUAAUGUAGUUGGUCUAACUUCUCCUAUCCCCAACUUCCUAAAUAUUGACAUAGGCAUCAAGUUGAUACUUGCACCUAAGUCACAUAAUGCCUUACCACAAUAUAUUGCUCCAAUGUUGCACGGUAUGGUAAAACAUCCAAGAUCCUUCAAUUUUGGGGGUAGUUUGUCUUGAAGAUAUGCACUACAUUCCUUCGUCAGAGCUACAGUCUCAAAUUCUCCAAGCCUUCAUGUAACACCCCUUACCUGCAUUCCUGAUCGGAACAGAGUAUGAGGUAUUACUAAAUUUUUAAAAAAAUUUCAACAGCAUUUCUGCUUAUUUUUGCUUAAACCUCCUGCAAGUUUUCAAACACAAUUCAAUAUUCCAACCAAGUUCAGUUGUAUAAACAUACACAAUUUAACCAUUAAUAAACACUACAUUUUAAAUCAAACCAUAACAUAUAUUUACAUGGUGACGCCUCAUUACAUAAGUCGUCUAUACAUGCCAUAAUUUCCAGAAUACUAGUAGCAAAAGACCCAAACGUGGAUGAUAGUGUAGAUGAUUGUCUAACUCCGUCCCAAUUCCGAGUUGAUGGAAAUCACUAUAAUCCAGGGAAAAAAAAAACGAGUAAGCAUAUAGCUUAGUAAGUAAACAUAUGACAAAUAAAUAAAUUUCUCACAUGACUACACCAUAGUAUAAAUUUAUUCACAAAUAAAUUUCAUUGUUUGUGUAAUUUCCAGCAAGCUGGUUUUCUGCAUCAUGACCACUAAUUUAUUUUUAUCCGGAGCUACAGGGCUCCAAACUGAAUUCCAUAAAUUUUAACUGAAACUAGACUCAUAUAUAUUUCUAUCAUAAAAUUUUCAGAAUUUUUUGUCAAGCCAAUUAGUACAGUUUAUUCUAUAAAUCUUCCCCUGUUUCACUGCCUGACAGUCCUGACCUCCCCUUACAAACAUUCACAUAACUCUCUGUAAAAGUUUCAAACAAUGUUCUCAUUUGAUUAUAUUAAAAAUAUACUCAUAAAGGAAUCCAGGAAUAUAUAUUUCAAGCCAUAAUUAUUUUUGUAUAAUUUUUGGUGAUUUUCCAAAUUUGGAACAGGGGAUUUCGAAAUCAAUUCAGCCCUGUCUCAGUAAAUUUCAAAUAUCUCCAAAAAUAAAACUCUUUUGCUUGCUCUAUUUCUUUCAUAUGAAAAUAGACUCAUUCAGCUUCAAUUUCAUAUAUUAUUUAACCUCUAAUUAAUUUUCUACCAUUUAUGGUGAUUUUUCAUAAUUUCCCAACUGCUGCCAUUCAAAACAGUUUUGCAUUCAAAUUGUCUCUUUUUGUAUUUUUGAUUUUCCUCCCAUCUUAUACAUGGGUUGAUUAAGUAUCAAACCCAAAAUUUCUCCCAUAAACUUGUCCACCACAUAUAUGAAUAUUCACCUUCCCAAUUUACUCGUUGAACACUCGAAAUGUUAACCGUUAUCGGUGGAUUCCACACUUAGCAACCACCAAUGAAUCGGGGAAUCAGCACACAGCAACCCCUUGGGAGAAUCAGCACUUAGCAACCCCCUUCACAUUUCAGAUGUGGUGGAAUCAGCACUUAGCAACCACCAAUGAAUAGGGGAAUCAGCAUAUACAACCCCCCCGGCGGGAAUCAACCUUUAUCAACCCCCCUUUCACAUUUUAAAUAAUCGUGAAAUUCAUCACCUUACUAAACCCCCUAUUUAUAUCUCGGUAAAUCUAACUCCCAAUAAUCCCCCCCUUCACAUUUUCAUUAAUUCCUGUUGGAAUUCCUCUCCUUUAAUACCACUCACCAAUUGACUCUCUGCAACUUCAUCAUCACAGCACACCCCUCUUUUAUUUUCANNNNNNNNNNNNNNNNNNNNNNNNNNNNNNNNNNNNNNNNNNNNNNNNNNNNNNNNNNNNNNNNNNNNNNNNNNNNNNNNNNNNNNNNNNNNNNNNNNNNNNNNNNNNNNNNNNCCGGCCUAUUCCGAGUGUUCAACCAAAAACCAUGUUUUGCAACCCCUUACCACCUUUCCCAAUUUAACAACAUAUUUGGAAUCUUGUCAAACAUUUAUUUUAUAUUCAAAUAAAUCUCAACACAUAUCAAAUAAUAUCAAAAUAAUACAUUAAGUCACAUAUUUACUUAUCUCGGUGCAAAAUAUCGUAAUUUUGCAAUUCACUCCACUAUCUUUUCUUUUCCUUGUUUGAGAUAAUCUUCCCGUCUCUCUUGAUCUAUAAUAGCAAAUUUAACUCGUUUAAUGUUCACAUUUAUUAAAAUAAUCUUCCACCCAACUUUUUGAAAAUUUACAAUUUUGCCCCCAAACUUUUACAUAUUUACACUUUUUUCCCUAAGCUCAGAAAUUAAACUUCAUCACUUAUUCUUAGGUUUUAUGACAUGCUGAACAUUUUUCCCUUCUAUGGCAACAUCAAAUUCUCACUCUAACACAUACUUUUGAACAUUAACUAUUUUUACCGAUUAUGUCAAUUUACCCGUUUUCGUUUAAAAUCGCUUAGCAAAAGUUGUUUAACAUAAUUUAUAGCUUCAUAUUCCACCAUAAAACAGCAAAAUAAACACAUUUCACCUAUGGGUAUUUUUCCAAAUAUGAACCCUAACACGAAUUAUUGAUAGAAUAAGCUAAAUUAAGUUAUCGGGACUCCAAAAACGUAAAGAACAUUAAUGCUGAUUUCGUUCACCAUGAAGAAGAUGAGCACAUUUUGCCAUCUUUUUCCCUUUUUAAUUCUUUUUAUUACUAAAUGACUAAAAUUCCCCCAUUUAAAAAAUUCUAUUUCACCCAUUUCUUAUGUCUAUUUUUGUCCAUCAAUUAACUAAUGGUCUAAUUACCAUAUAAGGACCCCCAAUUAAUAAUUUCAUAACAAUUAGACACUUCUAACAUGUAGAACUCAACUUUUGCACUUUUUACAAUUUAGUCCUUUUGACUAAAUUGAGUGCCCAAACGUCGAAAUUUUCGAACGAAAUUUUUACGAAAUACUUUCGUAAAAUUGUAGACCAUGAAAAUAUAAUAAUAAUCAUAUUUUCUCUCGUCGGAUUUGUGGUCUCGAAACCACUAUUCCGAUUAGGCCCAGAAUCGGGCUGUUACAACUCUCCCCCUUAGGGAUUUUCGCCCCCGAAAAUCUUACCGGAAAAGAGGUUUGGGUACUGUUUCCUCAUAAUUUCCUCCGGUUCCCACGUAGUCUCUUCCAUUCCAUGUUUUUGCCACAACACUUUCACUAAGGCUACACUUUUAUUCCUUAACUGUUUGACCUCCCGAGCCAGAAUUUUUAUCUGUUCCUCCUCACAAGCCUUAUCUGGUCGAACCUCAAUCUCUGUAGGAGAAACUAUAUGUGAAGGAUCUGAACGAUAAGCUAACCGAUAAGCUACAGGGUCAACUCUUUCAAUAACUUCAUAUGGUCCAAUAAAACGUGGACUCAAUUUGCCUUUACGACCAAAUCUCAGAAUCUUCUUCCAUGGAGAUACUUUCAAGAACACUUUAUCACCUACUUGAAACUCAAUUUCUUUCCUCUUUAAAUCCGCAUACGACUUUUGCCGAUCUGAAGCAGCCUUUAAGCAGUCACGGAUUAUUUUCACCUUUUCUUCAGUUUCUUUCACCAAGUCGACUCCAUGAAUCCGGUUCUCACCGAGCUCAGUCCAAUAUAAAGGAGUUCUACACUUAUGCCCAUAUAAUGCUUCAUACGGUGCCAUUCGUAUACUUGACUGAUAGCUAUUGUUAAAAGCAAAUUCAACCAAUGGUAGAUAUUUCUCCCAACUGCCUUCCAAUUCUAAAAUACAACACCGGAGCAUGUCUUCAAGAACUUGAAUCACUCUUUCUGAUUGCCCGUCAGUUUGCGGAUGAAACGCAGUACUGAAAUUCAAUUUCGUACCUAAGGCUUCCUGCAACUUAAUCCAAAACCUCGAAGUAAAUCUCGGAUCUCUAUCCGAUAUAAUAGAUUUAGGCACCCCGUGUAAUCUCACUAUUUCAGUAACAUAUAAUUCCGCCAACCUGUCAAGUGAGUAAUCAAUGCGUAUCGGAAUAAAAUGGGCUGACUUUGUCAAUCUAUCAACAAUUACCCAAAUAGCAUCUUUCUUCUUUGGAGUUAAAGGCAAUCCUGUCACAAAAUCUAUCGCAAUACUGUCCCACUUCCACUCUGGAAUCGUUACCGACUGAAGUAAACCCGAUGGUACUUGAUGCUCAGCCUUCACUUGUUGAUAGAUUAAACACUUUGAUACAAAUUCCGAGAUAUCCUUUUUCAUGCCCGGCCACCAAUACAACUUCUUCAAAUCAUUAUACAUUUUCACACUACCUGGAUGGACUGAUAAAUUACCACUGUGUGCCUCACAUAAAAUGGUCCGAAUUAGCUCAUCAUUUCUCGGUACACAUAUUCUAUCCCGGAACAUUAGGCAGUCAUCUGAACCAAUUUGAAAAUCUGAAUCAACGUCUGCUUCACACUGAGCUCUUCUGGCUUGCAAUUUAUUGUCAUUCUUUUGAGCUUCCCGAAUCUGCUGAAGAAAUAACGGUCUAACUCUUAAUUCAGCCAAAAUUGAACCAUCAUCAGAUAAAGUUAAUCUUGUACUCAUAGCUCUCAAAGCAAAUAAAGAUUUUCUGCUCAAGGCAUCAGCAACCACAUUAGCUUUCCCGGGGUGAUAAUCAAUCAUUAGCUCAUAGUCUUUAAUUAGCUCGAGCCAUCUUCGUUGCCGCAAAUUCAAGUCUUUUUGGCUCAUCAAAUACUUCAAACUCUUAUGAUCAGUGAAGAUUCAGCACUUUUCACCAUACAAAUAAUGGCGCCAAAUUUUUAAAGCAAAAACAAUAGCAGCCAAUUCUAAAUCAUGCGUCGGAUAAUUCUUCUCAUGCGGUUUCAGCUGUCUUGAAGCAUAAGCUAUUAAUUUGCCCUCUUGCAUUAACACACAUCCAAGACCAUUCAACGAUGCAUCACUGUAAAUUACAAACUCUUUCCCUGAUUCAGGUUGCACCAACACUGGCGCCUCAGUCAACAAUGCCUUCAAUUUCUCGAAACUUUGCUGACAUUUAUCGGUCCAUUCAAAUUUGACAUUCUUCUGUAGUAACUUAGUCAUAGGAGAAGCAAUCAUCGAAAAUCCCUUGACAAAGCGUCUGUAAUACCCAGCUAAGCCCAGAAAGCUUCUAACCUCGGUCACAUUCUUUGGUGACUCCUAAUCAGCAAUUGCUGAAAUUUUGCUUGGAUCAACCCGAAUACCUUCACUUGAAACUAUAUAUCCCAAGAAUCCAACCUCACGAAGCCAAAACUCACUUUUGCUGAAUUUAGCAUACAAUUUCUUUUCUCUCAGAAUCUGCAAUACAAUUAUCAAAUGUUCUGCAUGCUCAGAUUCAUCCCGAGAAUAGAUUAAAAUAUCAUCUAUGAACACCACCACGAACUUAUCCAAGUACGGCCGAAAAAUUCGAUUCAUCAAGUCCAUAAAAAUAGCCAGAGCAUUAGUCAACCCAAAAGGCAUUACCAGAAAUUCAUAGUGUCCAUACCUCGUUCUAAAGACGGUUUUCGGCACAUCAGACUCUUUAACUCUCAACUGAUAGUAACCAGACCUCAGAUCGAUAUUGGAAAACACUGUUGCCCCUUUUAAUUGGUCAAACAAAUCAUCAAUUCUCAGCAAAGGAUACUUGUUCUUUAUAGUCACCUUAUUGAGCUGACGAUAGUCAAUACAAAGUCUCAUAGAGUCGUCCUUCUUUUUCACAAAUAACACAGGAGCACCCCAAGGAGAAAAACUCGGUCUCACAAAUCCUUUAUCUGUCAACUCUUGUAACUGAGCUUUUAAUUCUUUCAACUCAGUCGGAGCCAUCCGAUACGGUGCAAUAGAAAUCGGUGCAGUACCAGGUAACAAGUCAAUAGAAAACUCAACUUCUCUAAUCGGAGGUAACCCAGGCAAUUCCUCUGGAAAUACGUCUGGAAAUUCACAGACUACCAGCACUGAUUCAAACUUCGACCCAGUUAUAUUAGUAUUCAGUACAUAAGCAAGAUAAGCUUCACAUCCUUUUCUCAAGUAUUUCUGAGCAGACAUGUGCGAAAUCACCAUAGGCAAUUUAUUCGGCUCCUCUGUUUCAACCCGGAGAAUUUCACCGUUUUCACACUUUAAUUCAAGGAUUUUCUGUCUACAAUUUACCUUGGCAUCAUGCAAUAUCAACCAAUCCAUCCCCAAAAUAACAUCAAACUCAUCAAAUGGUAACAACAUCAAAUUAGCCGGUAAACAGUGACCUUGAAUCAUCAGGGGACAAUUCUUGCAAACCUUAUCGACUAAGACACAUUUGCCUAAAGGAUUUGAUACUUUAACUACAAAUUCAGUGUUUUCAACAGGCAAUUUCUUACUAGAUACCAAAUUCACGCAUACAUAUGAAUGAGUAGAGCCAGGGUCAAUCAAAGCAAUAACAUCAAUAUCAUGAAGAGAAAAUGUACCAGUAAUCACGUCGAGAGAUGAGGCAUCCUCUCGAGUGCGUAUGGCAUAAGUCCUAGCAGGCGCUCUAGUUUAUGAUCUUCCAGCUGCAUCUUUUACCACACUUUUACCACUGGUUUUGCUCCCCACAUUUCUCGGUGGUCUGCCUCUGCUGACAAUAUCACCCGAUCCAGUUCUUUGUAAUUUUCUUCCUCUAUUCUUUUAGGGCAAUCUUUUACGUAAUGCUCUUUAGAACCACACCUGAAACAAGCUCAUUUAAAUCCCCAACACCCACCAGUAUGUCGUCUGCCACACUGUUGACAUUCAAGUCUGGUGUUUCCUACAUUGCCCACACUUGCCACUGAGCUAGCUCGAGUUUUAACUCCAGAAUAUGACCUCCCUCGGUCUCUGCGUGAAUACCCAACUGAACCAGUUGGUCGUGGAUCCAUCCCUUUAAACUUCUUCGGUUGGGAUUUAAAUGUCCUGCCCAUUGACCUCUUUCUUACAUCUCGAGCUUCCAUCUCCGCCCUUCUCUUUUCUCUACUCAGCUCUUCAGCCUUGCAAGCCCGAUCAACUAAUACCAUAAAUUCUUUUAACUCUAAAACCCCAACAUGCAAUCUGAUAUCUUCGUUUAGCUCCUCUUCAAAUAUUUUACACAUAAUAGCCUCUGUGGUACACAUUCCUGGGCAUAUUUACUAAGCCGGACAAACUCCCGUUCAUAUUCUGCCACUGACAUUCGGCCCUAUUUCAAUUCUAGAAACUCCUUGCGUUUCUGAUCAAUAAACCGCUGGCUUAUAUAUUUCUUUCUGAAUUCCUCUUGGAAGAAGUCCCAGGUAACUCUUUCUUUUGGAACCACCGAUAUUAAUGUUUUCCACCAACGGUAUACCGAAUCCUUCAAUAAAGACACAGCACAUUUCAAACAUUCCUCAGGAGUACAAGAUAAUUCAUCAAAUACCCGAAUAGUAUUUUCAAGCCAAAACUCGGCUUUUUCCGGAUCAUCACCAACAUUAGCCCUGAAAUCUUCAGCCACAUGCUUUCGAAUUCUGUCAACGGGUGGUUUACUUGAUCUCACCAAUUCAGCACUUCGUGGAGCUAUGGGGACCGGUUGAGGAAUAGGAGGGGUGGAGGAGGUGGAACAUUCGGAUUUGCACGGACAUAUUCUGUAUACCAAUCACUCAUCAUCCGGAGGAAGGCUUCCCGAUCCUCAUCCUGUCCAUGUGUCUCAUACCUACUCUCUUCAUGUGCGGUCCCUUGUACGGGAGUCGGCGCGUUACUUUCAACAUCAUCUGCCACACUUCGGUCAGGGUCCAUUUACUAUAUAAAACAAAAUUUUAAAUUGUCAGAAAUCAUCACACUAUCACAAUAUAUUUAUGGCAUGUAUAGACUGACUUUCACACAUAUUUUUUUUGGUCCGAGAACCGACUAAACCGUAGCUCUGAUACCACUAAAAUGUAACACCCCUUACCCGCAUUCCUGAUUGGAACAGAGUAUGAGGUAUUACUAAAUUUUUUAAAAACUUUCGACAGCAUUUAUGCUUAUUUUUACUUAAACCUCCUGCAAGUUUUGAAACACAAUUCAAUAUUCCAACCAAGUUCAGUUGUAUAAACAUACACAAUUUAACCAUUAAUAAGCACUACAUUUUAAAUCGAACCAUAACAUAUAUUUACAUGGUGACGCCUCAUUACAUAAGUCGUCUAUACAUGCCAUAAUUUCCGGAAUACUAGUAGCAAAAUACUCAAACGUGGAUGAUAGUGUAGAUGAUUGUCUGACUCCGUCCCAAUUCCGAGUUGAUGGAAAUCACUAUAAUCCAGGGAAAAAUAAAAACGAGUAAGCAUAUAGCUUAGUAAGUAAACAUUUGACAAAUAAAUAAAUUUCUCACAUGACUACACCAUAGUAUAAAUUUAUUCACAAAUAAAUUUCAUUGUUUGUGUAAUUUCUAGCGAGCUGGUUUUCUGCGUCAUGACCACUAAUUUAUUUUUAUACGGAGCUACAGGGCUCCAAAUUGAAUUCUGUCAAUUUCCCUGAAACUAGACCCAUAUAUAUUUCUAUCAUAAAAUUUUUAGAAUUUUUGGUCGAGCCAAGUAGUACAGUUUAUUCUUUAAAUCUUCCCCUGUUUCACUGUCCUACAGUCCUGACCUCCCCUUACAAAAAUUCAGAUAACUCUCUGUAAAAGUUUCAAACAAUGUUCUCAUUUGUUUCUAUUAAAAAUAGACUCAAAAAGGAAUCCAGGAAUAUAUAUUUAAAGCCAUAAUUAUUUUUUAUAAUUUUUGGUGAUUUUCCAAAGUUGGAACAGGGGAUUUCGAAAUCAAUCCAGCCCUGUCUCAGUAAAAUUCAAAUAUCUCCAGAAAUACAACUCUUUUGCUUGCUCUAUUUCUUUCAUAUGAAAAUAGACUCAUUCAGCUUCAAUUUCAUAUAUUAUUUAACCACUAAUUCAUUUUCCACCAUUUAUGGUGAUUUUUCAUAAUUUCCCAACUGCUGCCAUUCAAAACAGUUUUGCAUUCAAAUUGUCUCUUUUUGUAUUUUUGAUUUUCCUCCCAUCUUAUACAUGGGUUGAUUAAGUAUCAAACUCAAUAUUCCUCCCAUAAACUUGUCCACCACAUAUAUGAAUAUUCACCUUCCUAAUUUACUCGUUGAACACUCGGAAUGUUAAUCGUUAUCGGUGGAUUCCGUACUUAGCAACCACCAAUGAAUCGGGGAAUCAGCACACAGCAACCCCUUGGGGGAAUCAGCACUUAGCAACCCCCUUCACAUUUCAGAUGCGGUGGAAUCAGGACUUAGCAACCACCAAUGAAUAGGGGAAUCAGCACUUAAUAACCCCUCGNNNNNNNNNNNNNNNNNNNNNNNNNNNNNNNNNNNNNNNNNNNNNNNNNNNNNNNNNNNNNNNNNNNNNNNNNNNNNNNNNNNNNNNNNNNNNNNNNNNNUCAGCACUUAGCAACCCCCUUUCACAUUUAAAAUACGGUGGAAUCAGCACUUAGCAACCACCAAUAAAUCGGGGAAUCAGCACACAGCAACCCCCUUCACAUUUCAGAUGCGGUGGAAUCAGCACUUAGCAACCACUAAUGAAUCGGGGGAUCAGCACACAGCAACCCCUUUAUAUGCAAUAUGCUCCGGCCUAUUCCGAGUGUUCAACCAAAAACCAUGUUUUGCAACCCCUUACCACCUUUCCCAAUUUAACAACAUAUUUGGAAUCUUGUCAAACAUUUAUUUUAUAUUCAAAUAAAUCUCAACACAUAUCAAAUAAUAUCAAAAUAAUACAUUAAGUCACAUAUUUACUUAUCUCGGUGCAAAAUAUCGUAAUUUUGCAAUUCACUCCACUAUCUUUUGAACAUUAACUAUUUUUACCGAUAAUGUCAAUUUACCCGUUUUCGUUUAAAAUCGCUUAGCAAAAGUUGUUUAACAUAAUUUAUAGCUUUGUAUUCCACCAUAAAACAGCAAAAUAAACACAUUUCACCUAUGGGUAUUUUUCCAAAUAUGAACCCUAACACGAAUUAUUGAUAGAAUAAGCUAAAUUAAGUUACCGGGACUCCAAAAACGUAAAGAACAUUAAAAACAGGGCUUGGAAUCACUUACUAUUGAGCUUGGAAGCUUAAAAACCCUAACUAUGGCUUCCCCCUUGCUGAUUUCGUUCACCAUGAAGAACAUGAGCACAUUUUGUCAUCUUUUUCCCUUUUUAAUUCUUUUUAUUACUAAAUGACUAAAAUGCCCCCAUUUAAAAAAAUCUAUUUCACCCAUUUCUUAUGUCUAUUUUUGUCCAUCAAUUAACUAAUGGUCUAAUUACCAUAUAAGGACCCCCAAUUAAUAAUUUCAUAACAAUUAGACACUUCUAACAUGUAGAACUCAACUUUUGCACUUUUUACAAUUUAGUCCUUUUGACUAAAUUGAGUGCCCAAACGUCGAAAUUUUCGAACUAAAUUUUUACGAAAUUUUUCUGUAAAAUUGUAGACCAUGAAAAUAUAAUAAUAAUCAUAUUUUCUCUCGUCAGAUUUGUGGUCCCGAAACCACUAUUCCGAUUAGGCCUAGAAUUGGGCUGUUACACUUCGUUUCUUAGACAAUAUAUCUUGUAUGAACUUGAUGUAGUUUGACAUUUGAUCAAGUGCUUCAACCAACGAGAUGUUGAUGUGAAGUUGCUUGAGUACGUCGAUGAACUUCUUGAAUUGAAUCUCCUGCUUCUGUUUCUGAAGUCUUUGAGGGUAGGGUGGUGGUGGUUUCAUUACUGGGAUGAUUCUAGUUGAUUCGUCUUUGGCGGCAAUUCUACAUCUAACGACGUUGUUAGUUGAUCAGAAUUAGCUGGUCCUGAGGUUACUUUAUUGGGUUUUGCAGAUUCUGGUUCUGGUGAAACUGGAAUUUCAACACUUGGUUGAAUUUCUUCUGAAUCUUGAGUGUCAGCUGGCUCCUUUUCAACUUCGACAGUGUUGAGCUCUACUGUCUUUCUGCUCCUCAAUGUCAACGCUUUACAAUGUUCCUUCCCUAGAUUUUUCAGAUUUUCCAUGUCACUAGGUAGAGCACCUUGUGGUCGGUUCCUGAGUUCAGUAACAAGCUGGCCCACUUGAUUCUCCAAAUUCCUUAGAGUGGCGUCGUUUUACGCCAUGUAUGGCUUCAAUUAAUUCUCUACGCUAUUGGAUGGUUCCACUUGGGUUGGUUUUUGAACUUGUUGGGGGAAACUAGGCGGCUGAGUUGGUCUAGGUUUCAGCCCCUUGGUUACUCCAGGAAAAAUUUGGGUGAUUUCGCCACGAUGAGUUAUAAAAGUUGGAUUGCAGUCCUUGCCUCCCUCAAUUUUGGUUUUGGUUACCCAUGUAAUAUACAGAUUCGAGGUUCGAUGGACAUUCUUCAAACAAAUUUCCUUCCCCAUAAUACACAUAGGCUAUAUUCUAAAAUUGGUUAGGUGGUUGGGCUGCAAAACUAUUAGACCCAUUAGUGGUAAGAUUCUUAAGCAUGGAGGAUAUUGAAGAUACCUGAGAUGUAAGUGAAGUGACCUACUCAAUUGGUUUGCCAUUUAUAAUUAUUGCUGGCAAUCCUCUCAACAAUUUCAUAAGCCUCAUUAUAAGACUUAAAAAGGAGAGCACCAUUAGCAGCGGCGUCCACUACCAUCCUCGUGUGAGCAUUGAGACCAUUAUAGAAUGUCUCAAGUAAAAUGCAAUGUGGGAUUCCAGGAUGAAGGCACUUUCGUAAUAACUCUUUGUACCGUUCUCAUGCCUCAUACAGGGACUCAUCAUCCAUUUGUUGGAAGGCAGUGAUCUCAUUCCUCAACUUGGCAGUCUUGCUCGGCGGGAAAUACUUCAGGAGGAAUCUCCCGGCUAACUCUUGCCAUGUAGAAAUGGAGUUCAGUGGCAAUGAGUUCAACCGGGCACGAGCUCUGUCCCUUAGCGAAUAUGGGAACAGCUUCAGUCGUAAUGCAUCUUUGGGCACUCCGGCUAACUUGAAAGAAUCGCUCACUUCCAAAAAUAGUUUUAAGUGAAGAUGAGGAUCUUUAGUAGGCAUUCUACUGAAUUGGCCCAUAGUUUGAAACAUGACUGGCUUCAGCUAGAAUUGUUGUGCCUCGAUUUCAGGUCUCCUAAUACCCAGAUUAAGAUGGUUAAAUACUGACACGGCAUACUGCCGUAAAGCUCUAUCCCUAUCAUCAGAAAUAAGGAUAGGAUUCUAAGCAACGUUUGCUUCGUUUCCUUGAUUCAUAUUCUCAAAGUUUAUCUUUUCGGUCCUUCUCUGGUUCACUUGUCUUCUUUGCUGUCAAAAGGUUCGUUCUAUUUCAGGAUCCACAAGGAGUAAGUCAAUAAUCUGGUCAAUACUCAUAAACACCUGAAAUAAUGACAGAAAGUUUAAGUAAGUAAAGAUUUAAACAGGAAAAUAAAUAAAUCAAAAUCUAAAAAUAGAUUCACAAAUAAUGGCUUUUUUUUAAAAGUAGUCCCCGGCAACGGCACCAAAAACUUGGAACGACGAAAAUGUGCAAGUGUACACAAUCGCAACAAGUAAUAAAGUGACAAGUAAAUGUCGAGUUAUCGUACCCACAGGGACUAUAAAAGAAUUAUUUAUGAAAGUAAGUUUAAACACUUUGGUGAAAGAAAAAUAUUUGGAUUUGGGAAAUGAUUAAAAACUAGAAAACAAAGUAAAAUAAAAUAAAAUAAAAUAAAGUCCUCAUGCAUGAUUUCAAAAGCUGGUUUUAAUCAAGAUGAUAUAAUUGUGUUGGAUUAAUUACAUUUCUUUACCUUAGAAUCAUUAAACUUAUGCUUAUACUUAUUACUAAUAAAUCACGGCAACUCGGUACUUUGCUAACUUAUGAACAUAUUUACAAGUCAAAAAUCCAUUCAUCUCUUGUACACAUUCCUAUGUCAAUUCGACCGAUAAAACAGAUUUAUAAAGAUAAACAUGUUAUUGCACAUACAUACUUAUUAGACUAAACAAUCUCUCGCAUAUUCCUAUGUUGAUUCAAAUGAUUAAUUCAACCUAAUAAGCAUAUAAAAGAUUAUGUGAGGUAACAAAGUAUCCUUACCUUGAAACAGUUUAAUCACAAUAAUGUUGCAAGUUAUGCAAGGCAUAUGUAUUGCUAAAUACAAUGCUAAUCUAAUCUUCAGCUUCCUUAGAAUAAUUAAACAUACAAUGAUUAAGUACUGUUCCCAUUAAUUACAAUUUCAAUGCAUUUAAAUAAUUAAUUCUUUAGUUAUCUUACAAUUGUAAUGCAAGAAUAACUUAAUCAUGGUUUUACUUAAUCAAACAUUUUACCGAUGCCUAUAACAGCAUAAACAUAAAUUUAACAAAUCAAGAGGAGGGAAUGCAAUCAACCCAACACGAAUUAAAUUCAAGCUAGGUUGAUUAAAUUAACCAUUCUAAUAGCAUAAAUAUUCAUAGAUAUGUUCAUCAUAAAAAAAAAUUAAAGAGAUAAGGAACAAGAAUCAAAUCAGGUGGUUUUCCGUGGCUUAACUAAGUUGCUCCGUUCUUCCUUCUUUGUUGUCCUCGCCGGUCAAGGCUGCUAUGAACACUCAAUUGCUACUCCAAAAUUAUUGAAGAAUACCCCUUUCCUAAGAGGAUAAACCGGCACAAGAGCAAGGAACUUUAAAUGGGAAAAUGAGAGAAAAAAGUGAGAGAGGAGAGAAGAGUUGUGAGAGAAGAGAUGUGAAUGAGGGAUGAUUUGAAUGGGCAAAAAAUGGGGGUUUAUAUAGCUGAGGAUGGCUGCUAAAAAUAUCAAAAUUCAGCAGCCAAAGAGCCCCCUCAUGGUCGGCCAUCCUACAUGGCAAAGUUGAGAGUUUCAAGUUUGCUAAAUUAGCCUGGGGCAAAUCCGUGAAGCCUUAAUUUAAUGUGAGGUUUGGAUGCAAUUUGCAAGUCUUCCAAGGGCCUUUUUGCAGCUCAUUUAAUCAACUAAAAUGCUGAUUUGGGUCAACAUUUGAACGGUUUUGGGCUGCCCAAUUGGUGGCUGGUUCGGUUCACUCAAUUUGGUUAAACUGGUGCGGUUCAACUGGGCCCUUUUUCCAUAAUUAAUUAAAAUUAAUUUAUUUAGCCCAAAUUAAAUUGGGAAUAAAUUAAAAUUAAUUAUAUUAUGAAUUAAUACACAUAUCUGGACCGUCUUAGGCUAGAAAUUAUUUUGCCUUCUUACUUCGAAUUGCUUCUCGGUUUUAUUCUUCCAACUGUGUCUACUGGGUCAAUUUCCGCCCUUUCUACGAAUUUGUCAAAAAUAAUCAAAAUUCUCUAAAAAUAAUUGUAAAAUUGACUAAAAAUUAACAUGUUCAAAUUUUUAAUAAAAUUUAAUUAUUUUAUGAAAAUUAAUUAUUUUAUGACAAAAAUUCUAUCGAAAAUGCAUGAUUUGAAGUAAAAUUAGGUAUGAAAAAAUAUAUAAAUCUUUGUGUUUCCAUAUAUGAAAACAUAAUUUAAUUUAAGUUAGGAGAUAUCACACUAUCACAGGUUAUAAAAUGACAUGUAUUUUAUACUCUAUACAUGCUACGUUCAGUCUGAGAAUCGACUAAACCGUACCUCUGAUACCACUAAAUGUAAUACCCCUAACCCAUUUUCAUCGCCAGAUUAAGGUUACAGGGCAUUAUCGUACAAAACAUAACUUUUAAACUCAAAACAGAAUAAUAAUUCAAGCUACAAAUUAAUUACUAAUUAAUCAAUUUAAUCGUGGAACUAAUACACAUUUGGGCCUUAAUUGAUCUUCUGGGGCGAUAAAAAAAUUGGGGGCAAUCAGGGAUCAAUUUAAAAUAAAUAAAAAAUUGGAAAAAUAUGAAAAAUUGAGAAACAAGGGUCACACGGCUUUGUGGCCAGGCCAUGUGAUAUGGCUCAGACCGUGUGGACAUUAGAAGAAAGGUCACACGGCCAUGUCCAAGCCCAUGUGUUUGCCCGUGUUUAUAUUUGAAAUAGGGUCUCACAGCCUUGUCGCAGACCGUAUGCCAGAUUGUGUGACUCACUGACUUGGUACACACAACCGUGUUUCAGACCGUGUGCCAGACUAUGUGAAACCUGCACCUAAAAUAAAAAGUGACAUACGGCCGUGUGGCCAAGCCAUGCAUGACACAUGAUCGUGUGGCCAGGCAGUGUGUGUCACACGAUUGUGUGACAGCCCAUGUCCCAGGCCGUGUGCUCCAAAAUUAGCCACUAAAACAAGCCAUUACAAAACCAAACCUUGGUAAAAAGAAUACUCCAUUUGUACACACAAUCAAUGGACCUAAACACACCUCAAACAUUCGCAAACAUACCAAUUAAAACAACCUAAAUCUUCUAACCAAUUUGCCAUUCAAAGGCACCUCAUUUCAUACCAAAACAAAAUUAAUUAAGAACAAAGCUAUAAUACCACUUUUCAAUCACAAAAAAUUAGGUAAAAAUAUCUACCUAAAGUCAACCAUUAUCAUCCCAAGUUACCAUUCAAAAUAUGCAUACUAAAAUGGCCAUUUACAUAUACAACUUUUAACAUGUUCAUGCCAACUAUACCAUAUGCAUAUAACCGUUUACAAAAGUGACCAAAACACAACAAAAGUAUAAAUGACAUUAAACCCUAUAUAUUAAGCCUUACAUAUGCCAUUUACAACCAAAGCCAAAAUAUUCAAAAAAUUACCAAGGUGAUUUCUAGCUAGUGUGAUAAGGCUACAAUAAGGUUCCAACCAAUCGAGCUUCUGAUAGACUACAAAAUAGAUGAAAUACAACUACGUAAGCAUUAGUUGCUUAGCAAGCUCGCAAAAGAUUAACUUCAACUUAUCGAACAUCAAUUGAUAAAUCAUUCAACCAAGUUCAUUUCAACAUUUAAACAUUAGACUUUCCUAUCCAGUAUAAUCCACAUGGUUAAUAACCAACAUAUAAACAUAACAUCUAUGUGAUAUAGCAUAUACUGGGAAAUGACUUCCAUAAUACAUCUUUUCCAUCACAUGAUAAAAACUCACCAUUAACAUUUCAUAAAGUCAUGAACAACAAUUAAUUGUAAACAGGCCUUUCUUCAACUUUCACUUACCCAUUGAGCUUAAUAGAAUCACAACGGUUAUCUGAUUCACUACACUAGCAUGCAGCCUGCUAGGCUCAAGUCCUGAUUUCAUACACUGGCACGAAGCUUGCUAGGCUCAACACCUGAUUUCAUAAACCAACACAAAGCCUGCUAGGUUCAAAACCCGAUACAUGUCUCCAAUAUAACUCAAUUUCCAUCAAUCAACAAAAUUGUAAUCACAACCACGAUGACUAAUUACAUAAAACAAUUAGCUAAGAAUUUAAUAUAAAAAUUUGUAUAAUACGAGCUUACUUCGAUAACUAUGGUUGCAAAAAUAGAGUCGAAUGCUAGUCCAAAGCUUUAGAUUUCCUCCGAUUUAAGUUUGGUUGUUGUGUAUCUUGAUCUAAAUAUUAUUUUCAUUCAAUUAAGUAAUUCAAAUAACUUCAAACAUUCAAUUCAAACCUAUUAUCCAAAUUAAUAAAAAAUUAUAAAAUUACCCCUAAUAUUUUAACCUUUAUACAAUUUGUUCCCUUGGUUUAUAACUUGCAAAUUCACCAUUUUUAAUUGAAACACAUAUUAGUGGUUUUUCCCCUAAGCUUAUAUUAACCCACAUUCUUCCUCAAUUCAAAAAAUAUACAUGAAAAUUUACCAUUUUAACAAACAAACCCGUAAACCCUAGUUUCACUCAAAUUUAUUUAACAAAACAUGUUCAUUUAACAACUAGCUUUAAUUAUCUAUCAAUAACUUCACAAACUCCUCACUUUCAUUCAUGGCAUAUCCCUCAACCUUUAAUAUUACUGCAAAUUUCCUCCUUCAAAAAUGGUGUACAAUUUUGGGAUAGCAAAAUGAGAAAGAUGAUAAAAUUUUUACCUUUUCUUUUGUUUAACACUUUGUUUAAUUAUUAAUUUACAAAUUUAACCUUUAAAAUCUAUUUAAAUUCAUUAAAACCUAUCUAUAAACAUCCACUAACAUAUAACAUGGUAUAAAUACCUCUUAAGUCCAUUAGUCUUCCUUUUCAUAACCAUUUAAUCCAUUUAACUAAUAGAAUACAACUUUUUACCUUUUUCAAUUUAGUCCUUUUCACCUAAUUAGCCAUUUAAACCUUAAACUUUCUUAACAAAAAUUUAAUACGACCUUAAUAUAAACAUUUAAGAUUAAAAUAUUUAAUCACUCAUCGAAAUUAUGGUCUGUAGGCCAUUGUUUCUGACGUCACUAAAAACGGGCUGUUACAUUGCAAUCCUCAGACAUCAUUUUUGAAUCACCCAAAAUUGUCCCAAAAACUACUGCCGCUAAUGGUGGUUGUUACCCCUAAAGUUUUCAUUUUUAUUGACCGACAAUAUGAGAGUUAUUUACUAAAAUCCACUACAGUUCCAACCUGGAUUUUUAUUGUUUUUCAAGUUUAAAGAUAGUCUUUAAUAAGCUUUUAAACAAAUCCCCUUGGUGUUUUGCAAAAUCACCCAUUUGUGGCCAAUUAUGGGGGUGUGGCGCUCUUAGAUAUGCCACUAUGAGCUAUUUAGUUUUUUUUGUAAUUUUUUCUAAUAUUUUCUAGAAAGUUUAAAUCUAUCAUAUCAUAUCCUAUCCUAAUAAUCCUUUGAUCAUGUAUGAUUUAGGAAUACUCGAUCUUCCUUCGUUUGGAGACUUAGAUCUGACAGAUUGGUAAGCGUAAGUGUGGUUGUUUGCGGGUUUGUGCAUGGUUUCAAUUUUGUUACUAAAGAAUAUGUUAGUUGAUUGAAUUAAGGAUUUAAAUGGAUGAUUAGCUACUGAUUUUUUAGCAUUUUAUUGUUUUAGGCACUGAUUUAAAUGCCUUGAACUAGUAGUGAAGAUGAUUAUCGUUCGCACGCACGUUUCACACCGAAUCAGUGUAAGUAGUCUAGUUGAUUUGGAUCUAAAAGUUAGUUGUUGUAACACUGAUUUUGCUGAUCCUUUAUAGAGUGUUUUAAGGUUGGUUUGAUAGCAUCUUAACUCAAUAAAUUUUUUAUUUUAACUUAGGUUCGAUUCAAGUCUAAAGUGGGAAUCGCGAAUUUCGUAAGUAGUGUUGCGGUUAUGUAAAAUUAAGGUUUGGGUUCUAAUUUGUAAACUUGACUGUUUAAGUCAUAUUUUUAGUGUUUAAAAUGAAAUUCAAGCAUGCUAUUUGGCUUAUAUAAAUGGCCAAGUAAGUGAUAUUAAGGGGGCUGAAUUAGGUAUGUUUCGAGCCCUAAUUAAAUGUCAUUCUUGCAUGAUUAGCAUGGUUGACUUGUUAUUUGUAUGAGUGGUAGUAGUAUGAAAUGACAUGGAUAAUUUGAAUAUAAAAUGAUUGUUGGUUGUAUGCAUAGCAUUUAUUAAUAUAUAUAAAGACAAAACAAAUGAAUGCUUGAAUUGUAUGCUUGAGUAAAAUGCCAUAAAAUGUACUAUUUAAGAGCUUGCUAUUCAUGCACUAGAAAAUUGCUCUUGUAGCAUGUUGAAUUGCAUUUGAAAUCAUUAUGAAACUAAGGCAUGUUAAAAUGUCAUCGAAUGAUUGUGAAAUGGAAUGCUUAAUAAGUGUCAUCAUUGUAUGGAAAUGAACAAUAAUGAAGGCAUGUAAAUCAUGCCUCUGAAAUGUGAUUGUAAUGGAAACAUGUUCUUGUUUGCACCUUAUAUGACAUAAUACAUGUGCAUAUGGUGGGAUAUUGUGGAUGAAGGAGGAGUUUCAUGGAGUAAUGGAGGUAGAUUCAGUCUGCAUUAAUGUUGUCAAUGCACUGCAUCGAGAGUAACGAGGAGAAUAGCGAUUAUAUCGCAUAAUGAAUGGCAAUAUAACUGCAUUAUUUACAGUGGUGGUUUAACCACAUCGAGCUCAGCUAGCCAUGUUUGAAGUUUGGUAGAUGGGUUCUGGGGAACUCGUGGUCUGUAGCAAUUGGAUGGGUAGGAAUCUUUUUGCAUUAUAUUAUGUUCAUGACAUACUGAAAUGUUAACAUUUUAUGAUACGUAUUGUGUUGCAUUGAAUUAUUGUAUGUUGUCUUUACGAUUGAGUGAGUGAUAUACUAUUUUAGACUCACACUGAGCUAGUUAAGCUCACCUCGUAGUUUCAAACAUUUUAGGUAAUAUUCAAGACUAGGAUCAAGCAUGACAUGUGGAUAUAUGACGGGCUUCAGACUAAACAAUUAUUUUGCCAAAAAUUUUAUGAACGUUUAUUUGGUUUUUAGACUUUAAAAUUAUUUGGACUGUGGUUUGGGUUUUUCUUCGUUUUGAGGUUUUAUUCAUGCAUACUCAUUUCAUUGAUUAGAUUUAAAAUCGUGUUUUGAAAAUGGAUAAUGCAUGAUACUUAGCCUAACUAAAAUUUGGCAUAAACUAUGUUUUCCGCUACAAUAAAAAUAGUUAAACUUUUACAGAAUGAAAUGAGAAGCAACCUAUUUUCUAAAACCAUGCUAUCACUAAGAGAAUGACUUAAGACAAUUGACUUAAAUAAUGAAAGUUUUCCAAAUUAACACAAGAGCAAACUGUGGUUUUUCUUAUAAGAGAUUAAAUAAGGUUUUUCAAAUAACGGUAGGGUCAUUGAGUCACACAAGUGGCUAAUACGGUCAUCACAAUUCAGUCAUAAUGUCUAGGUCAGGUUGAGGAGGUUACACAUUCGAUUUAUUUCGUUAUUCCGUUCAAGUGAUUUGCUACUCCGUUCCUCAUUUGGUAUUCAAUCCACGAUUAUUCAAUUGUCUUUUCUUUCUGUAAUAAAUCAUAUUUUUUACAUGAUUUAUUCAAUCGAUAUUGAGAUUAUUUAUAACAUGAGUGGCUAAAUCCUUUUGGGGAGAAUAAUGGGUGGAUAGGGAUGUGAUUAGUGAAGGAUUUAAGGUUUCCAAUGAGGGAUUAGUUGGUAUGAAUUACAUGUGACUAAACCGCCAGGAUUGACAACCCUAAGAAGUUAUCAUAGGCUAGACGAGGUCAGGAGAUAAGUCAAACCGAGUAAAUCGUAAUUUAUCUUCGUUGAGAAAAUGAGGUCGAAAAAGAAGUGAGUAUUAACCAAUCAAUUAGUUAAUUAGAGGUUAGGAGUUAAUAAUUAGUUAAUCCACCCUAAAGCCCUAAUCCAAAGUUAGUUACAAACCUUGAAGCGAGUUAAUAUUUCUAAUUGGUUUAUUGAUUUAUUUCGUUUUUUAUUUUUCUUUCUUUAUUUCUUUUUGUUAUUUAUUUAUUUUUAUCUCUUCAACUUAUUUUAUGGUUUAUCGUCAUAUGAGAAUUAACUGCUACUACUUAAACAUAUUACUAUAAAAAUAUUUUCACAAUUUAUUCCAUCUUCCCUUGGGUAUGAUCCUUUGAAUACUUCCAAGUAUUUUGUUGUCACAUCCUGAAAUUGGGUCUAGAAGUUUCGAGGGUAAUUUUGGAAUAAUAGCUCAAAAUGUGUUCAAAAAUUUAAAACAUUGUAAACUAAAAAUGUCUCUGUCUAUGGUUUUUUUGAAAAUUAAAUCAAUUGGUGAAAAUAGUAUGGAAAAAACCUUUAAUUUUAAAGCGUGGAAUGUUUUGGAAGAGGGGUUAAAUUUGAGAGUACCACAAAUGUAAAUAUACAAAAGUUUUAAAAAUGCCCUAUUCCUUCCCCCCACCUAUAGGAAAUUCACAAAACCUUUUCUCCCGCACUUGUUUUUGUCAUCCCUUGAAACUCCAAACACCAUUCACCCAAAUUUGAUCUUCCAACUUCAAUUCAUUUGGUUUCCAUUAUCUUCCAAGCAUUAAACCUCCCUAGAAUUUCGAAAAGAGCCUCAAGGACACCAUUAAUUUUGUUAUCUUUCAACUUGUGGGCUUUCUUGAAUUUACACCAAUCGUUCGUUUUACCCUCAAUCAAGGUAAUGUUUCAAUUUCCUAAUAUUUUUUAAAGUAAUCUAGCCAUUUAAAUUGAGUUUUAAGCCAUUUGAAUUAAAGGUUUUGGGUAGAAGUUGAAAGUUGGGUCGUUAAUGGUGAAAUUUGGGAUUUUGAAUGAAACUAUUGUAUCAAAGUAUUUAUUAACUUGUUUUGAUGUGAUUAUAAGGUUUUUACACUCUCUUUAAAGUUUCGUUAAAGAAUUUGAAUGUUUUGUUGAGUUUUCAUUAAAAAUUGGUCAUAUAUGUUUAAUUUUUGGAACAAUGAAUCUAAGCAGUUUUGUAUGGUUUGAAGGUUGAAAAUUAUUCUUAUAUGAGUAGUUAGAUGAUAGGAAUUAAUUUUACGCAUUGAGAAUGAGUAGAGAUUAAGAUAUUUAAGUUUCGAGUUUGCUAGUCGAAAAUCUCAGUUCCAAGAAGAACUAACCUUAGACCUGCAUUUUUGCUUAUGGUUGUAGUUGUAAAUUAAUUGUGUUUAUUGUAUGAUUUACUUUGAUGAAACAUUUGAAUUGUUAGGACCUUCUUUGAGUAAGGCAAAAAGCAAGGAAAAACUAGUUUAAGCUUUCGGUAAAUAGGUGAAAGCGUGAACAAUGAGUGUUUUGGAAGCGCUUCAUGUAGGCACAAAUCAUAGUUUUAAAUGGGAGCUUAGGAGUAGCAUAAACCCCUAUCCUAAGUUUCGAGUGUAAGAUUCUUAUUCUUCUCGUUUAAUUUGAAAAAUAUGUGAUUAUGUGAUAUGGAUUGAGUGUUAUGUUGUGAUAAUGUGACAUGUGAUAUAUGUUGUGAUAGCUCUUGUGAAAUGUCUCAGUUGUGGGCAUAUUAAACAAGCCAAAUGAUAGUGAUGAUGUUGUGAUUAUAAAGUGAAUGAGCAGUGAAAGUGUGCAGAAAUGAUAAGUAUAUGUAUGUUUUAUUGUGGAUACAUUGGCCUUGCGACCUUUUGAUACCGUUGGAUACAGUUGGCAUGCCAUAGGAUUUGUAAGUACUCACCCUUGUGUUUUGUACUGGGACAUUGAAGCCCAGGACGGUUUAGAGAGAUAAGGGAAUGUGAGCUAGGUUUCAUUCACUGGGAUAUGUUGGUGUGUUGGAGAGUGUUAGCUUAACGCAACACUUUUGGGAUAUGUUUGACUCUCUGAGUCAUUGGUAUGUUGGAGAUCCAUGUAUCCAAUGUGUGGUGAUAGAGUCCACUUUUAUGUUUCAUAGCCUCAAGUGUCAAUUUAUCAUUAAAUGAAAUAUUAUGAAAUGUGAUGUAUGCAUAAAUAUGUGAUUACAAAGUUAGAUGGGUUAGUAAAUAAUGUAUAAAUCUUUUAGUAUGUCACUAUGGCUAAAUAUGUAUGCAUAUGUGUUUUGGUUUCUUUCAUUUAAUGUAUGAUGUCAUGUUUAUUGGUGGUUUUUUCAUUCAUUCGCUGAGCUUGUUUAAGCUCACACACUUCUUUCCAAACUAUUGCAGAUAAUUAGUGUUUUCAGUGUGAGAGAUGCGGUUCUAAGGAAAUAAUCCAAGUGAGGCUUUAGUAUUUAAAUAGGUGAUAUUAUUUUUAUUCUUUGAGCUGUGGUAAUAAAGGCAAUAUGGUAGAGUUUUGGGUUGAUUAUUAUUAUGUCUUAAAUGGUUGUUUUGAUUUUAGGCUAAUAGGAUUUGAUGGUUGAUGUUGUUAUAUUAUUGGUUUUGUUUUAGUUUGAAUUAUUGAUGCUGUUUUGAACUGCAAGUAUGGUCAUUUUGAUGUGGAAUAAUGAAGUUGUGGAGGCAUGUUGAAGUGGAAAAUGUUUGAAUGUGCUAGAUGCCCUGUUUUGGUGUGAUUUUGGACGAAAUGAACAGAGGUAUAGGUAUUCAGAGCAUAAGUAUCGAUACCCCCAUGUUGUAAUGAAUCUGGAGGAAAACAGUAGCUCAUUUUGAUAUCGAUACCCUUUCACGAGUAUCAAUACUCGGGAUAAAAAUACAUAUACUUUUGUUUUGUAUCAGUAAUUUUGCUUAGUUUUAAAUUUUGAGGGGAAACAAAAUGCUAAAAAGGUACCGAUUUUCUAAGCGGUAUCGAUACCUGUGAUUGUGUAUUGAUACCUAUGUGGAAAAUUUUUGUUAGAUGGUCCCCAUGCAUGGUUUAGCUUGUUAUUAAUGUCGGUAAGCAUUGUUAAGUUGUUUUAAAUGUUGCCUAAGGUGUUUUUAAACUCAACACUCCUCUAAAUGUUUGAAAGUGAUGAUGGUUGCAUGUAUUUAAAUGUUGCCUAAGGGGAAUCUACCAUUGAUCAACAACACCGAUCACCAUCAUUGGCACCGCUACCUUCGUCAACCACCACCCGUCGAUCACCCCAACUGCCAAUGCUAGCCACUACCAUUCAGCCCUACCACCGGCUACCACUAGUUGGUUCGUGUUGUCUUGUUCGAUUUUGGUUAUGUCAUUGGCCGCUUCAUUUUUUCGGGUUUUGUUCGAAAGUUUAGGUUACAUAAAUUCCCAGUUUGUUUCCAGCUCACAUGAAUUUUCUAAUUUUUGAAAAAUUAAAAUUAAAAUAAAACCUACGUGGAGAUUAUAAUCUAUUAUUCUAAUUACAUAACCCAAAAUUUAUGAAAUUCUAUAUUACACCCAAUCUAGUUUCUAGGAAUCAUAACUUUUAGUAAAAUUACUUUAUCACAUAAAUAAAAUAAUUUCAUAUAUUUGUUCACAUAUAUUAUAAUAAAAAAUACAUAUAAUUUUAAAGAAUGCCACAUCUCAAUUUAAUCAAUUAAUGAGAGAGAAAAAUGAAAUUUCAAAUCAGUUUAUACUAUAAAUAUAACACAACCUAGCUCUAAUACCAAUUAUUGAAAAUUUUGGUUUAGAAAACAAUUAUUUUAGGUAUAAUAGAAGUUUUAAAAUUUUCUAAAAUCAAUCAUGUUGUGUUAUUUAUAGUAAUAAACUUAACCAAAAUUAUGCAUGUGCUUUGUACGAGGCAGACUAAAAUCAAUCUUGGGUUUCUAUCGAACGUCAUUCUCCUUUAUUCUCAAACUACAAACUAUUUUGAGUGUGCUAUCAAAGUUUAUUAAUCCAAUCGCAUAGAAUGGAAAAUUUUAUUAACUGUAAGUAGGAGAGUUAAUUUUCUCUAUAAUCGAAAACUAUGCAUUUUCCCCAAAAAAUAGAAUUUAUUCUGUAAAAUAGAUUGCCACUAUUUUUUAAUAGAAUAACAACAUAUGAUAAGUGUUGUAAAUUGCUCAACACAUAGUUCCAAUUUAUAGAGAAACAAUACAAGAGUUUUGUUUGAAUAAAACCUUAUGAAAUUUUUACUCCAAUUUGGAGUACAGGGGGCGACAACAUGCCCUAAUAAAUACUAGGGUUUGCAGCCCCUUGUACAAACCGGGUCUAUUUUGGGCCUCUCAUGUAUUAGGUCAGUUAUAUAUGUGUUAUUUGGACUUUUAUCCAACACUUAUAAUUUAUUUAACUCAAUAUUUAUUUUCUAUUUCCAAAAAUUUUAAUUAAUUAACUAAUUAAUUAAAUUAAUUUCUCAAUUAAAUAUUUUUUAUUCUAAUUCCAUUAAAGUCAUAGCCACUUUAUGUUAUAGAAUCUAUGAGGAAAAAAUUAUAUAAUUUCCUUAUCAACAAAUCCCUAAUGACUUAAUUCAUUUUAUUCUAUUUUCAAAUUUCAAUUAUUUAAUUACAAUUAAUUAAAUAAUAAUUCGAAGAACUUAAAUUAAUUCUCAAGUCAUGUUUUAUACUUAGCAAGAAAAUGCAUUCAUUGUAGCUAAUGAUACAUGAGAUCUAUCUGUUUUAAAUCAUCAUUUUCAUUCAUUUCAUAUUUGUUGGUUCUACAUGCAAUUCAUUUCUAGUUAUUACGAGCUAAUUAAUGGACCGAUUGAACAUAUAUAGUUAGGCUCAAAUAAUUUGUAAUUAAGUUUCAACUUUACGCCUAUUAAUUAUAACAUUAUUUGGUCACAAAGUCAUUCCACUAAAGCAUUGUAACUUAGCUUUCCCUUAUUAUAUAUCAUUACAAAAGCUACUUAUCAAGUGCUCAUCCAAUGAUCUUGUCAUAAGAGUGUUACCCUCAUAGGAUAUCCUUAAUCUCUUAGGGAUAAAUACCUUCUCUCAUGGUAACCAUUAUAUCUUCCUUCAUGAAAAGUCAAUUACUAUCAAAUAGUAAUUAAAUAAUUUAUUACAAAGACAAAUGACACAUGGUCAUGUUUCACUUUUCAUCUAUCAUGUAGCACUGAUGAGAGGAUAUCAUUUACCCAUUGUUGGGCUAUGAAUCUCAUUGUUCUAAAAUGAUGCUACAUACUACAAAAGUUGUAUACCCAAUGUAGUAAUUUUUGAUUCCUUAUCUAUUUGAACUCAGACUUUCAUUUAUAUUUAAGUAUAUGAGUCAUGCAUGCAUAGUUCAUCAUUCACUCAGGAUUAAGGUAUGACACACUUUGAACGUCACAAGUGAAUAAAUCCAUAAACAGAUUUAGGAUCUAUUCUACUUGGGUUAUGUCCAAUGUAUUGUCAGUCCAAUCAGUCACAUUUAUAUCUCUAUCCUUUGGGAGUCAUUCACUUUGAUAUCUAAGAAAAAAUAUCUCCUCAACUGGACUCGAUAGACAAAAUAUUAGUCUUAUGAUCAAUUGUUCAAUCUUAAUUAGAUUAAGGAUGCGUUUAGAUUAUCUACUAAUAAAAGUCAUCUUUCUGUAUUACAAUCUCACCACAUAAUACUGAUUAAUAUUAAUUAAAUGUUAGAUAAUCAAUGAGUUAAUAUUUUCUUUCAUUGUACUUUUCGUGCAAAAAUGUUGAAAAAAAUAUACGAAGAUAUUAAUGUUUGAUGAAUGUUUUUAAAGACUUCUCAUACCCCAUUUAGUUUUGGACUGAGGUAAGACCUCUCAAUCCUACCCUAUGAAUUCUACUGACUAUGUAGCGGCAGCGGAGCCCUGGGGUAACUAUUAAUGAUAUGAGUUUAUCUUCUUUCAAACAUCCACAAGCCUAAGUUCAGCUCAACUUGCAGCAUGCUAGUUUCUUCAUCCCACAUAUCUAGAGCUCUAGUUUUUAUGAAGGCUUUUUGCAAGAAAAAAAGAAAGGGGGGGGGGGGGGUUGAAGAGAAAAUGAGUAAUAAAGAAGAAAAGAGAAAAAAAGGAAGCUUCUUCUCCUUUCUUUCAAUGUCCGACUGCUACAUGGCUAAUACGGGGUUCUUUUCCACAUUUUAUUUGAUUUAUUGUAUUUAGAAUACAAAAAGGUUGGUCAAAUAGUCAUAAAGCUAGUAUAUGUGGCCUAAUUUUAUUUUAAACGCUAAAUUAAUUUAUAUUUAUCCAAAAAAAUCACAUCAUCAAACAUCACUGUAAAUUAAUAUUUAAUCAUAAUUGAUUCUCAAUUGACAAAAAUAUUAUUAAGAGAUAAUUUAUUAUGUUGCUCCUAAUCUUAUAUUUUUAUCUGAUUAAAUUUGAAGCUCUAAAAUGACUUAAAAUGCUUUCUAAUAACUUCCCAACAAUCUAAAAAUAAUUAAUUCCAUCAAAAUUUGAAUUUUCUUAUCGGAUUUAAAGAUAGAAUUCUGAAAACAAAAAUCUCAUACGAAGAACCCAAAUUUGUUGGGUGUUACAAACUAUAGAAGAGAAUAAAAUAUUUUUCCUACAUUAAUAUGUUUGUCUAGAGGGAAAGGAAAUAGAACAAGAAACAUAAAGGAACUAAAUAAAAAACUGUUAUUACCAAUAUAUAUAUAUAUAUAUUUGUUAUAGAGGAACAUAAAAGUGAAAUAAAUUAGGGUACCAAAAUCAUUUUAUUUUUUACAUGCAAUUUUAUCUGAAUUAUAAUGUUCAAUUAUAAUAUUGAUUAUAUUUCCACGAAAUAGGUUGAGUAAUUGUUCACCACUGUUUAAAGAUAUUAUCAUUUUUAAUUAGUGCUUUCCUCCUCAUAUCAAAUGGUGCAAUGUGCACUAAAUUGAGUUUGCUUGGUCGAAAGUCCAUACAGAGUCAAUCCUCGACAAAAUUAUUUUGAUUUCUUCGAAUGAUUAUGUACUAAUAAAAAACUCUUUUUUUAUUUAAAUUAAUUUAAUUAUAAAGAUAUAAAAAGGGUUAAUAUAGAGAGAGGUAUAUGGUAACUUUAUAUAUAUUUAAUUUGUACUAUUUUUUAUUUAACUGGUACCUAAACUUGAAAAUCAUAAGUCAAGUUGGUAAUGUUUUUUUUUAUACUUGAGUAACACCAUUAGAUUAUAGGUUGAUAACAAAUAGAAUGUUUACAUGCGUCACCAAAUAAUAAUAAAAAAUUAUAUUUUCAGAAAUUUAAAAUAAUUAAAAUUUAAAAAAUAGGAAAUUUAGUUUUUUUUUUAAUUUUGCAUACAUAAUAAACUUGGACAAAUAGUUGUCUAGAUUCAUUUGAAUUUGGACAAUCAAUUGUCCAAGUUCAUUCUAAAUGUUUUUUAGUAAUUUUAUAUCUUUUAUAAUUUUAAAAAUAUAUAAAUUUUAAAAAACAAAUUUGUAUAAAUAAAAAUUUCACUAUUUUUAUUUUUUAUUUUUUAUUUUUUUUCAUUUCACAUGAAUAAUGAACUUGGACAAAUUGUUGUCCAUAUUCAUUUGAGUUUGGACAAACAAUUGCCACCUUCAUUCCAAAUGUGUAUUUCUCUAAUAAUUUAUAUAAAUUUUUUUAUCACUUAAGUAAUGAAUAUAUUUAAAAUAAAGUUAAAUUUUUCUAGAUUUUUAAAGAUAAUUGAAAAUAUUUUUAAGUACUUAAGUAAUAAAUUUUAAAUGAAUUCUAAAUUUUAAAAUGAUUACAAAUAAUGUAUGUGAUAAAAUUAGGAUAUAUUUUGAAACAUUGAAUUUAUUUUAUAAAAAAAUAUUUUUGUAUUAUUUUUUUUGAAAUUAUAAAAAUAUAUAAAAUUACUAGAAAAACAGGGUUGUCUAGAUUCACUUAUCUAGACAACUAUUUGUUUAUGUUUAUUGUGCACUAGAAAUAAAAACAUUAAAUUAUAAAAUUCAAUAAAAUUCUAAAAAUAUAAAAUAAAAAGUUUAUUUAAAAAAAUAUUUUUAUUUUUGAAAUUAGAAAAAUAAAAAAUUACUAAAAAACAUUCAGAAUGAAUCUGGAUAAAUGAUUGUCCUAGACUCAUUAUGGAUGAAAAUGAAAAAGAAAAAAUUCAUAAUAUUGUUAUGAAUAUCUUAUUAAGUGGAUGUCCAUCAUGAUCAAGAUAAAAUUUUAAUGUACUUUAAAUUCUAAUAGUUAUUAGAAUUAGAUCUCUACUUCUUUUAUACUUCUUAUGCCUAUAAAUAGAGACUUUGAUGAAGCAUCGUAAUCAUCCUUUUAUUUUAUAACACGUUAUCAGCACGAUCUUGCUCAAAGUGAUAGUUCCUUUUAUCAACGAUCAAAUUUAUCCUUCAUAAUUUUCAAUAUCUUUGACAGCAAAAUGCAAAGUUUUUACAGGAAGCUUCUUUUAUUUAAUGUUUCAUAUCUGAUUAUUGUUUUUCAUUCUUCUUCCAUUUUAUGUUAUUGUUGUUUUGAUUAACUUAUUUUACUUUUUGUUCUUGAGGAUGGUGAAAGAUUUGAUACCAUUAUCGAUAUGAAAUCGAGAAGUAAGAUUCAAUCUCAAAAUGGAUUAUGGUUCUUAUUCCGAUAUUUGAUUUAUUAUACAAGCAUGAGUAAAGUAUAGAUUUGGUAAGAAACUUUUAUAUUCCGACCAUAUUUUCUUUUUCAAUUAAGGUAUGACUAUUAUUAAUUUUUAUUUGACAUAAAUUUCACGUUCUUAUGGUAUUUGAUUUUUGCCUUUCUAGGUUAAUUUUUUUAUGUAAAAGACGUAAUUAUUGAUUAGAUAUGUUUGCUAUUAAUAUGAUAUAUUUUCUAUAUUAUUUUUUUGGUAAAUCAUUCUUUUUGAAGUUUUUUUUAAUUAAGUUAUAUUAUGCAUAAUAUUUAGAUGUUUUGAUUAUUAAAUUCUUGUUAUUAAAUAUUCUUGAAAUUUUAAUUAUGGUGAAAAGUGUUAUUAACCUACCAUUGAUGAUUAAAGGGAAAUUUGAUAGGAUCUAUUGAGUCUUAUUAACUUGCUAAUGUUGAAUGAUUGUAUGAUAUCUUUUAAAUUGAACUUAUAAAUAUUUUAUUAGAGCAAGAUAAGAUUUUAUAAUAUAUAUGUGGUAUUGAAAUUUGAUACAAUGUGUAUAGGAUAAUUUUUAAGCAUCAUACAUGAAAAUUUUGAUUAUUUAUUAAAUAAUUUUUACUAUUAGAUUAUAAAUGUUAUUACGAAAACAAAGUUGUUUUACUACUUGUAAUAGUGCUUGUGAUAAUAAUCAAGGUGAUGACAAUGAUGUUAAAGAUCUCUAGGUAUAUUUUACUAUGAUUUAUUUAUUAUAUCAUAUUUAUUAUAAUUGGAGACUAAUCAUGACAACAUGAAUAGAUAGAUUUUAAUUUAAAAUCCACGCAUGUUUGCGAUGGUGAUUAUGAAAUAAAGAAUCUAUUUGGACGUUUAUAAGUUCAUCCUAGUAAAUCUAUUGCAUUCCCCAAAGUGAAUGUAAACAUAAAGAAAAUAAAAUUUAUACUCAUGGACCACUAAAAGUAGGAACAUAGUAAUAAAUAAGAGAACAAUGAGAGUUCUCAAGAUAACUUUUCAAAGGGUAAAGAUAACUUUUGUUAUCAAUGUGAUAUGAAAUGAUUAUUGGCCACAUAUGUGGCGUAUGCCCAAAUAUUUUGUUUCUGUUAAUAUUCUUUGAGGAAGAUAUAAAAAUGUAGUAAUGAAUUCUAUCAUUACAGAUAGAAAAUUUGGUACUAAAAAAAACAAAUAUUAUUCAAAUAUUUAAUAGUACAAAAUUAGUCGAAAGCUCAAGAAGAGCUAAUAUAUCACUAUCUAAAAAGCACAAAAUUUGUGAUGAUUAAUACAUUACUUUUAAAAGUUAUUUGUAAUGGAUCUCAUAUUGAGAUUGUGAAUGAGAAAAAUAUUAUAUUUCAUAUGAAUAAAAAAGGGGAUUGAGUUAUUAAUUUAUAUUUAUUUUAUAAUCUUUGUGAUAUUAUUUUGUCAUCAUCGCUAUUAAAGGGUUGAAAGCAAAAUAUUUGACUGUGAAAGAUCUACUUAUGAGCGAUAGAAUAUGAUAAUUCUAUCUAAAGCUUAUUAUGGUUGGAUGCACCUAAAGUUGCAAGUUUUUUUUUUAAAAUUUGUGAGUAUAACUCUACAGUAUUUAGAAUAAGUUCUUAAUUAAAAUUACGUGGUAAAAUAUUACUGAUGAGAACUUGUAAGAGAGAAAACUUAGGUAUGAAAAGUCAUCAGUUAUGUACCUAUUAUACACCUGGAAAAUAAGAUCCACUCUCAAAGUUUGCUAUUAAUAGAUUUUUGGGCAUUUGAAGAUUUUGGCAUAUUCCCUGAAGCAAAUAUUGCAUAUAAUUAUUUGGAAGUUAUAUUUAUUGACUUGGUGGAAUUAUAGACUUCACAUUGAUUUAGACAUUUUCAGUAGUAAAUUUCACAAUAAUAAUUAUAUGUGGAUGCAAAUUAAAAGGAAUGAUAAUAAAAUUAUCAGUUUGUUACAAUUUAGUACAAUUAAAGCACAUGUUAAAGUAAACCAAAAGUUUACUAAUACAAAUGUGUUUACUACUUGGCGUGACCAGUUAAACCAUUCUAGAUCAUAUAUGAUGCGAAAAUUAAUUGAGAUAUCAUAUGGACAUCCAUUAAAGAACCAGAAGAUUCUUUAAUUUAAAAUAAUUUUCAUAUGUUGCUUGUUCUCAAUGAAAAUUGGUUAGUAGAAACUCACUAGCUAAAGUUGAGAUUUAAUGUCCUGCAUUUUUGAAACAAAUAUGGGCCCAUUCAUCUACCGUGUGGAUAGUUUUGAUAUUAUAUGAUUUUGGUAGAUGCAUCUACAAAAUAAUCACAUAUGUGUUAUCAAUUUGCAACCUGUUGUUUGCAAGAUUGCUUGUUUAAAUGAUUAAUUUCAAAUUAUGCAAUUAAAACAAUUCAUCUUGGUAAUGUUGGUGAGUUUACAUCCCAUGUUUUCAAUGAUUAUUGCAUGUCAAUUAGGAUAAAAUUUGAACAUCCUAUAGCUCAUGUUUAAACACAAAAUGAUUUAGCUGAAUUGUUUAUCAAAUGCCUCCAACUAAUAGUUAAACCAUUACUUAUGAGAACUAAACUUCCUAUUUCAACAUAAGAUUAUGUUGAUUUACGUGUUGUACGCAUCAAGUCAAUAAGUUAUAAAUACUCCUCAUUACAAUUGGUUUUUGAUCAAUAGCUAAAUAUUUCUCAUCUUUGAAUUUUUGUAUGUGCAUAUAUGUUCCAAUUACUCCACCACAACGCACAAAGAUGAGUGAAUCCUCAAAGAUAGUUGGGAAUAUAUAUUAAUUACAAGUUUCUUUGUAUUGUUAGAUGUUUUGAAUGCAUUAGAAAUUCAAUUGUGACAUUAUUUGUGAUUACAAUUUUGAUUCGAUAGUUUUCCCGACAUUAGGGGAAGAAAAAUAAUAACUUGUAAUGAGUUAGGCGGAGAGUAAUUUGAAUCAGAAGUUCAAUAAGGAUAACUCAUUACAAGUUAACUAUUAGAUGUAUUUACAAACUUAAUGAGAAUAACUAAGUGUUAAAUAGAUUGAUCGGUUCCAAAGAUGAAAAUUCUUCUGGAAGGUCAUAUAGUGGAGGCGGGUGCUCCAAAAGAGACCCAAGACAUAACUAAUAAGUAAAACUUUAGAAGAGAUUUAGGUACCUAAAACUGAAUUGUAAAAUAAUGAAAAUAAAAUAUCUCAAUAAGUUUUGUCAAUUCGAGAAAAUGUGGAACCGAAAAUAAAAAUGGUCGACAAUGAUUUUACAUGCAAUAUUAUUAUUGAAAUAAUGAAAUAAAUGGAGGAUCUUGAAUAAAUAUAUUGAGAAAUAUAGAUAUGGAAUAAAUUGAUCAAAAUAGACAGACGCAACUCAAGUACAAUUAAAUUUGUGGAGUUUUUGGACCAGUAGUCCAAAUAUCUAAAGGUAUAAAGCCAAUGAGGGUGCAAAUAAAGUAGUUUUGCAAAAGCGGAAUAAAAAUAUGAAGUUUUUCGCUAAGUACUUGUAUUGAUUAUGAAAAGAUAUAAUAUUCUUUUGUGGUGGAUGCAAUAACCUUUAGAUAUAUUAUUAAAUUGACAAUUCAUAAAAGAUUUAACUUGCGUCUAAUGGUUGUUGUUACAACCUUUAUAAAUCACUAUAUAGUAAAGUUUAUAUUAAAAUCCUUGAAGGAUUUAGAAUGCUAGAAGCAUAUUGAAAUUCUCGGGAAAUUAUUCAUUUAUAUGAAUUGCAAUAAUUUGAACAUAUGUAGUAAAUUUUAGUAGUUGAAGGAGGAUUAUAAAAUGAUCCAAAAUACCUAUUUGUGUUUUUAUAUAAGAAUCAUGAUUAAAGUUUGUUAUGAUUAUUGUUAAAUCUCCUGAAGACAUCAAAAUAUAUUUCCCCAAAUUUCCCUCACUCGUGACUUUUAAAAGAAUGGUAAUAUAAAUGCUUAUCAAAUAUAUUCAAAUAGUCAUUUGAAAAGCUAGUAUUCAAGAUUGAAUACGUAAAAUAUGAGAAAGUAUGUGAUGUUUUCAUGAGGGAGAGUAAAUACGCGUUGUACUCUUUUUCCCUUAACCGAGGUUUUGUGCAAUUGGGUUUUCCUGGUAAGGUUUUUAAUGAGGUAGCAUAUUAUGCGUAUUAUAGACUGUGUACUCUUUUUCCUUCAUUAGGUUUUUAUCCCACAGAGUUUUUCCUAAUAAGGUUUUAACGAGGCACAUUAUCUACCAAUGGACAUCCAAUGGGGAGUGUUAUGAAUAUCUAAUUAAGUAGAUGUCCAUUAUGAUCAAGAUAAAGUUUUAAUGUAUUUUGAAUUCUAAUAGCUAUUAGAAUUAGAUCUCUUAAUUUUAUAACAAAUAUAUAUUUUAAUUUUUUAUAAUUUUUUGAAUUUUUUUGUGGCACGUGUUAAUAUUCUUUGACAACUCAAAAUCUAAUUGUGUUAAUUAGGUACUAAUAAAAAGUACCAACUCGACUUAUUGUUUUCAAGGUUAGGUACUAGUUAUGUCCUAAAAAAGUUUAGAUACUAAGUAAGUACAAGUUGUCAAGCUGAGGUACCUUCGUAUAAAUUAAUGGCGAAUCCACAUAUAUAAAAAUAUAUAAGAAUACUACUUAUAGUUUUUCUAAAUAUAUAUAUAUAUAUAAUUGUGCAUUGAUCCCACAAAAUAUUUGAAAAUGGUCUCAUAAAAAAUAUGUUUCCACAAAAAUUAAAAAAUCGUAAGCAAAAUUUUUUGAAAAAUAAAUAACUUAUAAAGCAAACUAUUUGUAUAUAAAAAAUAAAUGAAUUUCUCUCCCAUCACUAAAACCCAAAAAUCCCUAUUUCUUUUAUUUUCUUCCAAUACUCAUUAUUUUUCUCUCAAAUUUCUCUUAUACUCUCACUUACUCUCUAGAGUUUUUAUAAGAUACGUGUUUAAUCUUUUCAUACUUUCAAGUGGGUCUCUCUAUUUGGUAACAACUCUUAUUGUCCAUUCAAACUUUAUUGAUUAAUCUCCAGAAGAUUAGGAUUGUAACUUUUCUUGUUAUAGGUUGAGAUUUUUAUGUAAGAUUUUAUUUAUUUAUUGAAUGAUUUUGGGAUAUUGAUUUUUUUAUGAGAUUCCUAAUAUCGUGAUUGGUAAUAAUUUGGAGAGAUUGAUUAAUACAAAUCCUUGAAGAAAUUAGGAUUCAUUGUAUUUAAAAUAUUGAAUUUCAUGAAUAUUUAUUUUAGCAAUUUUAUUUAGAAAUUGUUGUUGCUAUUGUGAUUAUUGUGGAUAUUGUGUUUGAAACAAAAAAUGAUAUAUUGCAUUCUCAAGCAACUAAAGAGCACUUAAGUUAUUUUUAUUUUUUGUGAAAGAAAAUUACUUGUUGUAUGUUAGUUUUGUAAACAACUUUAUAUGUUUAAGGCUUAGAUUUAUUUGGUCUAAUGUUUAGCAAGAAUGGAAAAUAUUUUUUUAAAAAUAGCGUAGUAGAGGAAGAACAAUAACAAAUAUAUUAUACACUAAUUUAUAUGACUUUUGUAAAUGUUUUAAUUUAUAAAGAAAUUACCUAUAAUAAAAAAAUUUUGACUCCGUCCUGUGUUUAUAUCACCUAUACAUAAAUGUAAAUAUAUAAAUAUUUAUUUAUUUAUUUUAAUUCCUUUAAAUAGUGAAAUUGACGGUUGAAUCAUAUUUGAGUAAGCCUUAAACAUAUCUAUACAUAUAUAUGAAGCCGGUGUCAAGGGUAAAUAAAUAAUAAUAAAAUUAGUAGUUAAAUUUAUUCAAAAUUUAUAAAAAUAUAAAAAUAAAUUAUAAGUUAACCUUUAAAAAAAUCAAAAUUUAAUUUGAACUCAUUGAAUGGCUAAGCGAUGAAUUAGACUUUUGGUCUACCGCUUCACAAUCCCAAAUCACAUUAUUAGUGGUGGUUAACAAUUUGAUUGAUGACCUAAUCCAUUUAAAGCCAAAGCGAUGAGGGAAAAAAAUAAUUGCCUAUUUGAUAUUGGACACUGUGUAAUGUGUAUUCUAUUAAAUUGGAAUUGUAUUAUUAAUCCAACAAUCCAUCGACAAUUAGCAGCAAUCAACGAUUUUAUCACAUAACAUUACGACCAUCAUCAUCCGCACAUACCUAUCAUAUAAUUCAUGAUGCCGACUUCAAAUAUUAUUCAUGCAUGCAUGGUAAAUAUAUUAAGCAUUAGGAAGAUAUUAAUCAAUUAUAUAAAGUUGCCGGCCAUGUGCACCUAACGAAUAUCACAUUAUCCUUAAUUCUAUACAUGUUAUAGCUCAAUCUUUAUUUAUUUAUUACGUUUAAAAAAAAUAUGUUUAUUCUUUGUUAAAUUAUGAAUAUAUAUUAUAUAUUAGGAAAUUGUUAUGAGACUAAGCUAGUUUCUUUAAUAUGUUUAACAUGCUCCCGUUUUCAAUUAAUUAAUUUAAUUUAGGUAAUUAUAAUUAUUAUUUUUUCUUCAAAUAAUUAAAUAUAUUAUCAAAUGUGUUUUCUUUAAUCCUUAAUUUUUAGGUAUUAAUAAAAUAUUAUCACCUCAUCGAUUUUCAAAGAGAUAAAAAUAUUAUUAUACAUUCAUAUAAAAUAUCUUCUUUAACUCUUUAAUUAAUUUCCAUAAUGAAAAUACUUUAAUUAAAUUAUUCAAAAAACUUAAACCAAAAACCAUAAGUAAAAAAAAAAAAAG